GGGCCCGCACAAGCGGUGGAGCAUGUGGUUUAAUUCGAUGCAACGCGAAGAACCUUACCAGGUCUUGACAUCUGUAGAACCUUUAGGAAACUAGAGGGUGCCUUCGGGAGCUACAAGACAGGUGGUGCAUGGUUGUCGUCAGCUCGUGUCGUGAGAUGUUGGGUUAAGUCCCGCAACGAGCGCAACCCUUGCUAUUAGUUGCUAACAUUAACGAUGAGCACUCUAAUGGGACUGCCCGUGACAAGCGGGAGGAAGGUGGGGAUGACGUCAAAUCAUCAUGCCCUUUAUGAUCUGGGCUACACACGUGCUACAAUGGAUGGUACAGAGAGCAGCAAAGCCGCGAGGUAGAGCGAAUCUCAUAAAGCCAUUCUCAGUUCGGAUUGCAGUCUGCAACUCGACUGCAUGAAGUCGGAAUCGCUAGUAAUCGCGAAUCAGCAUGUCGCGGUGAAUGCGUUCCCGGGCCUU
rnacentral:rRNA from 1 species